GGCGCACGGGUGCGUAACGCGUAUGCAACCUACCUUCUACAAGAGGAUAGCCCAGAGAAAUUUGGAUUAAUACUCUAUACGAUCAUUAAUUGGCAUCAAUUUAUGAAGAAAACUCCGGUGGUAGAAGAUGGGCAUGCGUCCUAUUAGUUAGUUGGUAAGGUAAUGGCUUACCAAGACUUCGAUAGGUAGGGGUCCUGAGAGGGAGAUCCCCCACACUGGUACUGAGACACGGACCAGACUCCUACGGGAGGCAGCAGUGAGGAAUAUUGGACAAUGGAGGCAACUCUGAUCCAGCCAUGCCGCGUGCAGGAAGACGGCCCUACGGGUUGUAAACUGCUUUUAAUAGGAAGAAUUAUACCUACGUGUAGGUA
rnacentral:rRNA from 1 species